AAGAGUGGCAAAAGAUUAUUUACAAUCUAAGCAGUGACAAAUUGUUAAAGUCCAAAGUAAGUAGUGGCUGAAAAUCAAAUCGCCCCGAAAGAACAUCAGAUUUGGUAAGCAUUCACCCCGACUUGUCCCUUUCUUCCGUCUCCCGCCGCCUUCGAUGACCUUCGCCGGCGCUUCACGCCGCCGGCGAGUAUCUGGUUCCCAUCCCCCUCUCCCUCUCAUAGCCAUCGUCCUCCUGCUAGUCUUCCCACCUCCUCCCCGCGCUUACGCGCUCCGCGUCCCACUGCGCGAGGUCGCCUCCCUCCUCUCCCUCUCCCACUCCCUCCUCCCCCGCGUCGCGGUCGCCCGCGCCGACCGGGGGGACGCCGCUGCCGCUGCCCGCGCUCGCCGAAUCGCCUCGCACCUGUCCAUUCUCUCCUCUCGCGGUGCGUGGGCACUCGGCUGGGACUACCUCCGCCACUAUGCUUUCUCCUCCGUCACCGGAUGCGGCUUCUCCCGCGCCACUGCCGCCGCCCGCCUCCUCGCCGCUGCGGCGGAGGCCUCGCGCCUAAAGUCACCGGUCGAGGCGGCCCAGUGGCUGCGCCGUAAUUACGGUGACCUCCUAGCCGCCGCUACUCAGCUCCUAAACGGCCUCCUCUCUACCUUCUCCGAGCAGGGGCCGCUAAGGGAGGUGGUGUUGGAUGUGAAGUGGGAGGUGGAGGAAGGGGGGUUGCUGAAGGAUUGCCUUCAGGCGGGAGCCAAAGACUUGGAGGGCUUGCUUAUCAUUGCCAAAGAUCUCUUUGGUGCUUCAAGGGCUUCUUCACGCCACAGUGAACUCUGAGGUGAGUCCUGACCAAGAAACUACAGCCGCUCCAUUCUGUCCUCCACCGAUGCAGAAUGCUUCAGAUCCAACAGUUCACCUACACAAUUAAAGCUGCUCCAGUUUGGUGACUCUGCAUACAACACAUCAUGUUAAGCUAUCUUAUCUCUUCGGGAAAAAGGUCCUUCGUCCAUGCAUAGGAAAAAAUUCUGUAAUUAAAGGCUAAUUGACUUACAACAUCUACCAUAGGUAACUGCUUGCGCAACGCACUAUGUUUGUUUUUCUCUUUCCCUUCUGAAGGCCAAACACCUGUUCUUGACUAGUGUUACUUUAACUCCUUGCGAAGCAUGAGGCUGCUGGAUGAGUCCAGUAGAUAUCCCUCGCCUCCAAACUACUUACUUGACAUCCUGAAAUGACCACGUUUCCGCUGACAUGGCAUCCAUGUCUCUGAAUUUUUCAUGGCGGAAAUACUUCAACAUGUGUGUGCCUGGUGCCCUGUUAGCAAAGAUGUCCACGUCUCUAAGAAUACAUUUUGUGUUGCUACCAUUAUGUGCUGUAUAUACAGGUCGACACAUGGGCCUUCGAUGAUAACAAACUUCAGGACCCUCUAGUGAUAUCUCACAAGUUAUCCUGUUACCUCUCGGACCAUCUUGUCUAGACAAUACUUAUGAUCAUUCCACAUGAGAACCUCUUCAGGUAUGACCUUGACCUUGUUAGGGGAGCUGAGAAUUUAUUAAAAAGUCACAUUGCACUUUACAAAUUACAAACGUGAGUGUCAUGCUCAUAAUCUGAACUACGGUGCUGACAAAUUCGUGAUGUAAAUCUGUCAUAAAUAAUGUGUGAUAACAACAUCUCCAGUCACGGUUUUAUGCCUAUAAGGCCAUGCAAAAUCCACUGGACAUAAGCUGUAGGGUAACAUAACACUGUGAUGUAAUAGAUAUUGGCAGGCAGCCACAAAAUAAUAAUUGGAUAUAAGUUGUCUUGGUUGAACUUGAAAGACUCGUUACGUCGGAAAGGGAAAAGGGAAAAGAAAAAAGUUGAAGCAAAUUUAGGAAAGAAGAAGCAUUGUUUCCGCUUCAUCCAUGAGUUCAGCUAGAUAUUUGAAAUGCAAAGCUACUGUGGGAAAUAUUUUGUCAGGAACCUAGGAAAGUGAUAGUCAGUAAAUUAGUUGUGGAAGCAUUUGGAACUACCACUAUUUUUAACUUUGAUUCCAUUUAUUAGAUUUGCUAUGGAGACACCCAAUUUAUUUUUGGGUUAAUUGGAUAAAUGCCACUCGAAUUCUGGCGAUUCCGGGAAGCACCACUGCAAUUUCCAAACUUUGAGAAACGCCAUGGCAGACUUUGGAAAAUGCCACUGGAAAUGGCAUUUUUCAAAGUUUGAAAAUUGCAAUGGCAUUUCUGGGAAUCGCCAGAAUUCGAGUGGCAUUUAUCAAAUUAACCCAUUAUUUUUCCUUGUUGCUGAAGGAUCACUUUGUUAAUUGGUGCUCUUGUUCUGUGCCUCCUGUAUGAUUGAUGUACUGCUAGAAUUACAGAUAAGAUGACAAGUGGUUAGUUGAGAUUUGUGCACCAUUCUCAAAAACAUAACUGUUGUGUUUUGUGGAUUUCUAGCAUAUUAUGGCAUCAUUCUUUUUUCUUGGACAUGUAUCAACAUGCAUGCUGUUUUGUAUUAGAUGUACGAGAACUUGAGAAGAAUGGUGAGAAGGUACAGAAGUUCACAAAAUAACACCAAACAAACCAAUAAACUGAAAA